UUUCCGUAGGUGAACCUGCGGAAGGAUCAUUAAUGAGUUGUCAUGGGGUUCGAUUCUGGCAGCCAGUUUUUGGAUGCAUGUGCUUGCCCUAACAAUCAUCUUCUUCCAAACACCUGUGCACAUUUUUGAGGGAGUCUUGAGUUGGUUGCCGCUCUUGGGUGAUUUUCUCACAUUCCCUUAAAUCAUUAUACGCUAUUAACAAUGUUGAACGUGCUCUGUGCCGCAAGGCCAUUAAUAUAAUACAACUUUUAACAACGGAUCUCUUGGCUCUC
rnacentral:misc_RNA from 1 species